UACAGAGACCUCAUGGAUGUUUGUUCAUGG
rnacentral:piRNA from 1 species